rnacentral:rRNA from 1 species
ACAGAGGUCUCAACCGUUGUUCGGAUUCAUUGGGCGUAAAGGGUGCGUAGGCGGUCGCGCAAGUCGGAUGUGAAAUCUCGAGGCUCAACCUCGAAACUGCAUUCGAUACUGCGUGGCUAGAGUGCUGGAGGGGAGACUGGAAUUUACGGUGUAGCAGUGAAAUGCGUAGAUAUCGUAAGGAAGACCAGUGGCGAAGGCGAGUCUCUGGACAGCAACUGACGCUGAGGCACGAAAGCGUGGGGAGCAAACAGGA